rnacentral:lncRNA from 1 species
UUCAGUCAAGUUGAAAUAACAGGUUCCCUCGUUUUUGUUGUAAUAUGCCCUGCAUAUUAUUUUCUUUGAAUUUGGUACACCACCAAGUUCUGUUUGGCUUACGAAAUCAUAGAAAUGUGUUUUUAUUAGUUUGUUUAUAAAUUCCAAUUUUACACAUGCAAGAAAAUUUAGUUGAAGAUUAAUUAAUCAAAAGCUUAAACUUUGAGUCAGCAG